CUCUCGGCCCCGCCCCUCCUCCUUCCCCGGCCCGGCCUUGACUCACAAUUGGGGCUCUCUUCCUAGCCAGAAUGGUGUAUUGCACCGGGAUGAGGCACGAAGGUACAAAAGAGAUCCCUUCCACAAGAGACAAGAUACCCCGAAACUACCUCUUCGCCUUCUUCCCGACUCAAUAUUCUUUAUGCUUCUCCCCGUUCUGAUCCUUACCAAACUGUGAUACAAAUCUUUAGGAUGGUUUUCAACUCAAACAGUGAGGGAAAGAUUCUGGAGUUUGGGACUCCUACUGGGAGACGCUGAGGCCUGAGCGAGGUCAAGACUCCUUCCCAACUUUAGGGGAAAGGAACUGCUUCUGUGCACCUGCACCCUCAACUCUGUCCUGAAGGGAAAAGACCGGUCUCUAACAAGGCUCCAUCCAGUCUCAACUUUCCAAACCUGCCUCCCAAUCUGGCUCAGCAGAAUAUUCCUGGUUCAUCCUUUUUGCAGGUGAUUCAGAGCCUAAAUAAUGCUGUCUCAGCCUUGGGUGGCACACAGCUCUGCUGAUAGCACAUUCCAGAUUCUGGUUACCCAGAGGAGAUCAGAGAGCAAUCUUCUGGCUUCUAGGAGCUGCAGUCCGCGCCAAGGAGCAGACACUCCACCUUUCCACUCACAUUCCUCUGCAUCCCUCCCCAGAGAGACUCUAAAGCUCAGAUACCUGGAUCCUAUGGGUCAGUUAGCACCAUUUGCUCUCCUGAUGUUGGACUAUAGGUGGUCCCUAGGGUGGGGUGCACUCCAAGGGACCAUUGUUUGAUCUCAGGUCUGCCCAUGUUGUUUUAUCUGUGGGUGUGCCUAGCCCUGGACAAAGCCAAGCUGGAAAGCUAUUCAGCCAAGUGAAUGGACAAUGGGUUAAUCUGGUGUACCUCUCAUAGACGGAAUCAUGUCUGAAUAACCACUGCUACUGGAGACAGUGGGCAUAGUCUGAGUCAGGAGAAAGCUCAGUGGCCUUGAAGCUGCCUACCUACUGGAAUUGUUACAGGAUCUCAGGGUAUUCUCAGGUUUGGCACAGCAUUUCCCUCUGCUGGCUUCCACUCAAGGACCUUACCCAAGAGGAAGGCUUCCACAGUGCCAAUACUUCACAUAUGACCACCCUAGAACAGUGAGUACAAGAGCCAGUGAAAGGAGAAGAGGCAGACAGUGUCCACUCCCUACACCAUUCCAUAUUGUCAUGUCCUCCCAGCUGCCCUUGCAGUUCAGAAUACAUAGGGGAAGCCUUGACAUCCCUGCUCCUCCAGAACAGUUGCAGUAAGUAAGUAAGUAAAUAAAUAAAUAAAUAAAUAAAUGGAACCAAAUACUCUCCCA